rnacentral:misc_RNA from 1 species
GAUGAAGAACGCAGCGAAAUGCGAUACGUAAUGUGAAUUGCAGAAUUCAGUGAAUCAUCGAGUCUUUGAACGCACAUUGCGCCCCCUGGUAUUCCGGGGGGCAUGCCUGUCCGAGCGUCAUUGCUGCCCUCAAGCACGGCUUGUGUGUUGGGCCUCCGUCCUCCUCCCGGGGGACGGGCCCGAAAGGCAGCGGCGGCACCGCGUCCGGUCCUCGAGCGUAUGGGGCUUCGUCACCCGCUCUUGUAGGCCCGGCCGGCGCUUGCCGACACAUCAAUCUUUUUUCCAGGUUAACCUCGGAUCAGGUAGGGAUACCCGCUGAACUUAAGCAUAUCAAUAAGCGGAGGA